rnacentral:rRNA from 1 species
UACGGGGGGUGCGAGCGUUGUCCGGAAUCACUGGGCGUAAAGGGCGCGUAGGUGGUUUGAUAAGGGUGUGGUGAAAGUCCGGGGCUCAACCCCGUGAUCUGCCGUGCCGACUGUCAAACUCGAGGACUGUAGAGGCAGACGGAAUUCCGGGUGUAGCGGUGGAAUGCGUAGAGAUCCGGAGGAAGACCGGUGGCGAAGGCGGUCUGCUGGGCAGUUUCUGACACUGAGGCGCGACAGCGUGGGGAGCAAACAGGG